GAUGAACGCUGGCGGCGUGCCUAAUACAUGCAAGUCGAACGAAACUUCUUUAUCACCGAGUGCUUGCACUCACCGAUAAAGAGUUGAGUGGCGAACGGGUGAGUAACACGUGGGCAACCUGCCCAAAAGAGGGGGAUAACACUUGGAAACAGGUGCUAAUACCGCAUAACCAUAGUUACCGCAUGGUAACUAUGUAAAGGGUGGCUAUACUACCGCUUUUGGAUGGGCCCGCGGCGCAUUAGCUAGUUGGUAGGGUAAAGGCUUACCAAGGCAAUGAUGCGUAGCCGAAUUGAGAGGUUGAUCGGCCACAUUGGGACUGAGACACGGCCCAAACUCCUACGGGAGGCAGCAGUAGGGAAUCUUCCACAAUGGGCGAAAGCCUGAUGGAGCAACGCCGCGUGGGUGAAGAAGGUCUUCGGAUCGUAAAACCCUGUUGUUAGAGAAGAAAGUGCGUGAGAGUAACUGUUCACGUUUCGACGGUAUCUAACCAGAAAGCCACGGCUAACUACGU
rnacentral:rRNA from 1 species